UACGGAGGGUGCAAGCGUUAUCCGGAUUCACUGGGUUUAAAGGGUGCGUAGGUGGGCAGGUAAGUCCGUGGUGAAAUCUCUGAGCUUAGCUCAGGAACUGCCGUGGAUACUAUUUGUCUUGAAUAUUGUGGAGGUGAGCGGAAUAUGUCAUGUAGCGGUGAAAUGCUUAGAUAUGACAUAGAACACCAAUUGCGAAGGCAGCUCACUACACAAUGAUUGACGCUGAGGCACGAAAGCGUGGGGAUCAAACAGG
rnacentral:rRNA from 1 species